rnacentral:lncRNA from 1 species
CUUGGCCUCACUGGGCAAGCUGCUUCCUGAAAGUGCUGACCUCAUUUCUUAAGGGGAUAGAUAAGCAUUUAUUCAUAUGAUGGGAUUUCAAGAGGGUGAGAGCAGAGCCCUCGAAGGUGAUUGCAGGGCGCAGAAGAGGUGUCCAAGGGCUUCAAAGACUUCCCUUAAGGCCUGUCCUGCUUACAAGAAAUGCAAUCAGGGGGAGCAGAAUGACGCAGAGGAGUCUGGAAGCUCAGGAUUGCAUUAAGCGACUUUCCCAUACUGUGAGGAGAUGUGGUGGGGACCAUUAACUGUUGGAAGGAUUCCUUUUAAGGAUGCAUUAUAUCAAGAGCUAGAUAUCAGAGCCACUUGGGAGAAAUAAGAAACAGGUGUAGAAACAGAGGAGAGCUAUAUGUGAACUGCAGCAAGAAGGUGGCUCUCGGCAAGCCAGGGAGAGACCCCUCAUUGGAACUUAAACCCUGCAGGACCUUGAUCUUGAACUUUCCAACCUCCAGAACUGUGAGAAAGAAAUUUCUGUUGUUUAAGCCACCCAGUCUGUGCAAUUUGGUUAUAGUAGCCUGAGCAGACUAAUGCAGAGGUAAAAACCUGUUCUCCCCUCUCCAAAAUCAGGGAAUUUGGUUCUGUGGUAUUGUUGGAGGUGACGUGCUUCAGCUGCUGAAGACUAAAUUAUUUGGGAUCCAGUGACCCUGGCCUUGAAGUUCAGCUGCAGGAUGGAGCUGACAUCACCCAAGCUCAAGUCCAUUCUGCUUCUGCUUCCUCAACACAGUGAGGUGGCCACUGUUCCUACCACUUUGACAGCAGGGAAAAGAGGCAGAGAGGAUCUGGGGCUGGGGCUGGAGCUACAGCUGGAGGGAAUUCACAAGCAAGCUGCAUUUUAAGGUUGUGGUGAAGAAAGAAGAAGCCAGAAGAAGAGAGUUCCUUAAUGCUGGAGAAUACCAUCCAAACCUUGUUAUAAAGCACAUGAGUUUCUGGGGUGCCUGCAUGAUUGAGCUUACACUUUAUCAGGGGAAUUGUUGCCACCGAUUAUAGAUGUUGAAAAACUCAAUAUUUAGAGGAGAAAAUUGAUAAAAGUUUUAUUUGGUUAUAUAAAAAUAAUACUGAGAACAGUCAUUUAUGUGGUUACUUAACAGUCACUUAUGUGGUUAUUUAUGGCUUUUGCUGUGCAGAAAAAUGAAUACCAUGCAGUAUUUUAAAUUGGUGUCGAAUUAACUGUGUAAACUGCUGUUGAUUAAACUUCACAGCUAGUGACUCAUGGUUCAAAAUUUUAAAAAUUCCAGUGAACAUUAACGUGUCUCACUCCGGUGUUGUCUUAUACACUUUUGCAUGUGUACUGUUUAUUUUGUCUUCUCAGAUACACCAGAAACAAACUAAAGGUAUAUUUUAAUAAUUUUCUUCUAUACAUAUAUCCAAUAAAUAAAAUAGUAUCCAUAACAAAAAUUAACUUUAUCAUUUGCACUUUGUUUCUUUCAUACAUGAGAUUUUUAAACCCAUCUUUAAAUGUCAAAAUAGAACUUUGAAAAAUAGAAAUACUUUUUGAAUUAAAGCAUCAAAAGGGACUUCAGAUGUUAUCCAAUUCAGUCCCUCCAUUAUGGAUUGAAUUGGACUUUUAAGCCAAUUGGUUAAUUAAGCUAAAAAAUAAACAAUUUAGAGAUAUUUUUUUCAGGUCUCCUAUUUUUUUGCCAGAACGACAGAUGUGCAAUUCUCAAAGAGAUCGUUUACCAAGAGCUUUAAAUAUUACCGCAGUAAAUAUCUUUUCUUAAUGACUUAGUCUAUUCUUCUGCAAUAAAUCACUGUAUUCUGACGCUUUCAGGAAACUUUGUUUAUACACUGCUGUGGCUGUUAAGUCUUGCCUUCAAUAGUGUUAGUUUUGUGAUACAGUGAACAAAAAUGUGAACUCCUUAAGGAUAAAGGUUGCUCUUGUGCCUUCAUAAAAUAUCUGUUGACUUCUGGGAAUUCUCUAGGCUUUUAAAAUAGUAAUUAAUUUUUUAAAUUGAUGAAAGUUGUGUAUAUUUAUGGUACAUAACUUGAUGUUUUGAUUUAUAUAUACGUUGUAGAAUGGCUUAAUCAAGCUAAUUAACUUAUCUUCACCUCACAUACUUAUUAUUUUUUGGUAAGAACACUUAAAAUAUACCCUCAUAGCAAUUUUUAAGUAUGCAAUAUAUUGUUGUUAACAAUAGCCACCAGGAUGCCUGAUUGAUCUCUUGAACUUAUUCUUCCUGCCUAAUGGAAAUUUUGAAUCCUUUGACCAAUAUCUCCCCUAGUCCCUGGGAAUUUAGUCUUAUAGGCCAUAUUGUGGCAUGAGCAAGGUCACCUCAGAUAUUAGGGCUUCCAAUUUAUUGACUAGUCUCUCUUUAUGACAUCUUUAAGCUAAAAAGGCUAAGGAAAGUGAACUAUGGAGCAAUAUUUAUUUUAUCUGAAAAAUGUACACAUAUGAUAUUUUGGUAAAAUGUAUCUUCCUCUGAUAUACAUAUAUGUUAUUUUCAUAAGUCUGUAUUUUGUUCAUAUUUUAAUUCCAAGUUUUAGUUCCAUUUUAGAUAUUCUACUUUGUGUAGCCUCCAUCAUAACCCCUGCCCCCCGUAUCUGUUGACUUUGAUCAUUGACAUCCAAGUUCAGUGAUCAUCUCCUCAGCAACACCAGUUCUAAAAAAAUAAAAAUAAUAAUAAUUUUAAAAAACCUCAUCCAUAUUCCAGUCAAUCUGUGGCAUAAUUGUGUAUUUUCUUUGUUGAAGAAAAAAAUAAGGAAUUACCUUGUAACACUAACCCAAACUCACUAUUAACACAGUAUAUCCAUGUAAUAAACCUGCACAUGUAUCCUCUGAAUCUGAAAUGAAAAUAAAAAUAAAUAAAAAUAAAAGAAUAAUCUGAGCUCUUAAAAAAUU